rnacentral:rRNA from 1 species
UCUGGUCAGGACGAACGCUGGCGGCGUGCCUAAUACAUGCAAGUCGAGCGAAUGAUUAGAGAAGCUUGCUUCUCUCUGAUUUAGCGGCGGACGGGUGAGUAACACGUGGGUAACCUACCCUAUAGACUGGGAUAACUUCGGGAAACCGGAGCUAAUACCGGAUAAUACUUCGAAACACAUGUUUUGAAGUUGAAAGAUGGUUUCGGCUAUCACUAUAGGAUGGACCCGCGGCGCAUUAGCUAGUUGGUGAGGUAACGGCUCACCAAGGCAACGAUGCGUAGCCGACCUGAGAGGGUGAUCGGCCACACUGGGACUGAGACACGGCCCAGACUCCUACGGGAGGCAGCAGUAGGGAAUCUUCCACAAUGGACGAAAGUCUGAUGGAGCAACGCCGCGUGAAGUGAAGAAGGAUUUCGGUUCGUAAAACUCUGUUGCAAGGGAAGAACAAGUAGCGUAGUAACUGGCGCUACCUUGACGGUACCUUGUUAGAAAGCCACGGCUAACUACGUGCCAGCAGCAGC